rnacentral:misc_RNA from 1 species
ACAAACUUGGUCAUUUAGAGGAAGUAAAAGUCGUAACAAGGUAACCGUAGGUGAACCUGCGGUUGGAUCAUUACCAAUUUUCUAUAUUCCUUUUCUCUCUCUCCACACUACUCUCUUACUCUUGAGUUUUAGAGUGGUGUGCAAGAGGAAAAGAAAUAUUUAAACACACUGUGAACUUGUAAUCGUUUUUUUGGUGGUUCCUUGGAGGAGAUGGGAUUUUUUUCUUCUUCUUCUCCUUGCAUCCAAGCGGUGCGGUCCACCAAAAGGGACCCUCUCAUUACCAGAGGGUUUCAAUUUUAAACACUUCAAAUUACUCUUCUCUAGUCUUUUAUUUUACUUUGUUCUCUCUUCUUUUCUCAUUCCUUUGGAGUAAGAAAAAGGGAAGCAAAUUAUUAAGCCAAUUGAGAAACAACUUUUAACAACGGAUCUCUUGGCUCUCGCAUCGAUGAAGAACGCAGC